rnacentral:misc_RNA from 1 species
GAUGACUAUUGUGGAUGACCUUGUGUCUGUUGAUACUGUCAUUGAGGAGCGUCUAACUGUGGAACCAAUAAAUGAGUAUGUCCAGAGUUGUGACAUUGUCGCCUUCAACAAAAUCUAGAGACUUUGCUGAGAGGGGGGAAAUGCAGUUUUGCAGUUGAAGUGGGAGACUGUUCUGCAAAAUGCUACUACUAUCAGUGUGUUUUAGUUUGUCUCUAUAAGAGCCUAGAAUUGCAAAAUAUUUGGAUUUUGAUGGAAGGAUUUUGUUUUUGAGACUUGCUGAGUCUGGUAUUUUAGUACUUUCAAAUUAUUAUGGAGCACUAUUUAUUGUCCUAUUAGAGGAGUUGUG